rnacentral:rRNA from 1 species
UCGGCUUAGAGUUUGAUCAUGGCUCAUAUUGAACGCUGGCGGCAGGCUUAACACAUGCAAGUCGAACGGUAAAGUAGCUUGCUACUUACGAGUGGCGGACGGGUGAGUAACGUAUGGGAAUUUACCGAAUGGAGGGGGACAACAGUUGGAAACGGCUGCUAAUACCGCAUAACGUCGAGAGACCAAAGGGUUUCUACUUGCCAUUUGAUGAGCCCAUAUGAGAUUAGCUAGUUGGUGUGGUAAUGGCUCACCAGGGCGACGAUCUCUAUCUGGUUUGAGAGGAUGACCAGCCACACUGGGACUGAGACACGGCCCAGACUCCUACGGGAGGCAGCAGUGGGGAAUAUUGCACAAUGGGGGGAACCCUGAUGCACCCAUGCCGCGUGUAUGAAGAAGGUCUUAGGGUUGUAAAGUACUUUCGUGGAGGAGGAACGGUGUACGUAAUCGUGGACAUUGACGUUA